GCUAAGAAUAUUCCGCAAUGGACGAAAGUCUGACGGAGCGACGCCGCGUGGAUGAUGAAGGCCGAAAGGUUGUAAAGUCCUUUUGCUGGGGAAGAAUAAGCGUGGGAGGGAAUGCCCGCGUGAUGACAUGAACCGGCGAAUAAGCCCCGGCUAACUACGUGCCAGCAGCCGCGGUAACACGUAGGGGGCAAGCGUUGUUCGGAAUUACUGGGCGUAAAGGGCAUGUAGGCGGCCUUGUAAGCUUGGCGUGAAAGUCCACGGCUUAACCGUGGGAUUGCGUUGAGAACUGCGAGGCUUGAGUGACGGAGAGGGAGCUAGAAUUCCUGGUGUAGGGGUGGAAUCUGUAGAUAUCAGGAAGAAUACCAAUGGCGAAGGCAAGCUCCUGGCCGAUGACUGACGCUGAGGUGCGAAAGUGUGGGGAUCAAACAGGAUUAGAAACCCGAGUAGUCC
rnacentral:rRNA from 1 species